CUUUUCUAAAGGUUCAGUUGAGAAGAGUGCAGCUCUGGUCCCAUAUGUGAAGGCAGAUCGAUGCUCCAAUUCUCACUCAUUCUCUCCAUCAACAAGUAGUUGAUUUUUUUCACUAUUAGGAAGCCAGCACACUUUAUUAAGGCGAACUUUGUUUUUUCAUUUUGUUCAGGACAGCACAGUUCAGUCUCAUAGACAUAAUGUAUACCCUUUCAGUCUAGAAGAUAUUUUCCUGCCUCCUUGUAAAACAAGAAAUGCAGAAUUAUUGGUCUACACUAGCCAUGAGUGUAUCUCUCUUAGACAUCUGGGGCACUGUUUUAGACUUUGGGGAACAGCAGUGAACAAAGAAGACAAUAAACAAAUCAUGUCAAAAUUCUUUACACAGCCUCUACUGGCCUGCUUGAGCUUUAUAUUAUCCAUCUCAUUUUACCUGCAAGAAACAUAUAUUUAGGAGAGAGAGAGAGAGAGAGAACAUUUAGAGAAGACUUUUUUUUUUUUUUUUUUUUUUUUUUUUUAUUGAAAGUAAAGCUAUAACUGUUAUUCAAAGGUCCUUAAGUCUGUCUGUGCUCUUUUU
rnacentral:lncRNA from 1 species